rnacentral:lncRNA from 1 species
GUUUGAACUAGGAGAGGUGGAAGUGUUAAGGCUGUGAAAUUACGGCUAACAAAAUAGGCAGGUAGAGGAAAUUGAUUAUCAGAAAGGAGAAUGGGGCAGACGUUCAGGUUGAAGUGGACAUGGGAGGUUGUGUGGUGCUAGUUCUUGGCCUUACUACCUGAAAUUGGUUUCCUUACUAUUCCCUUCAAUACUAACAGUAAACUUACUUUUUACUUGAGCUUCUUAGAGCUGGUGUCUGCUUCUCAUAGACAAACAAUCCCUGAUCAGAGUGUUCCCAAAUAUUAACACAAUGUGUUUCGUUCCUGUGCACGCAUUUCUCCUGCCUUCAGUAACUCUGCACAUUCUGUUCUCCAGCUCACUCUGUUCGUUUCUGAAAACCCAGCUCAGCAGUCAGUCCCCUUCUGUGGAAGGUUUUAAGUUAUUUAUUGAAGAAUAGAUAGCUCAUAGUAAGGAAGCAGAGGGACUUUCAGUUAGGGGAGGGUAAUGGGAGCCAAGCAACAGAGAAGGGGUGUGUACAGGAACAGGGCAAUGAGAAGGAUCAAAGCAGAGGCUUGUUUAUGUUAGAGAAUAGAGGGGAGAGCAAACUUCAAGUACUUCUGCAGGACAAAUAUUUGUGAUCUUGGCGUCAUUUUGUCUGAAGGCUAAGGGCUCACCACGUACUGGAUACCACGGAGAGGUCAUACUGUAAUUUAUCCCAGCUAAGAAAGAAACUGUAGCUAUUCCCGGGUAUCAGUAAUAACCCAUUUCUGUAGCAUUGCGAGGUUCAGCUCAAGACAGAGGACCACCCAGACGUACUACAAAUGUUUCUGCUAGAAUUCAAAUAAAUCACAUUUGCAGACACUAUAGUGCUUCCCAUCAGGGGUGAGAAGGGUUGGCAGGUGGUGGAGAGAAUACCAAGACCUAGGCUCUCCUGAUCUCCCUGCAUCCCUGUCAUUUUUGGCAAUGUCGCUAAUCGGCCCAGCAGCCCGAAUCCACACGCCCCGGCGUCCGGGCUCUGCAAGGUGCAGCUGGUCUCAGGCCCUGUCUCAGAAUACAGAAGUAAUCAGAAUUUAUUCACGUGGGCCGACUGAGAGUUUUGACGUCAAAGGGCAAUCCUGUCUGAUUGAUACCACUCAAAUGGCAAUAUUGUUUGAAGAAAUGUAGUUAGAGAGAUGGCAAUUUAAAGGCUAUAAGAAGUUACAGGAAAAGAUUUUGUGAAUAGAGACUAUAAAGCACUCCUGUAACCUUGGCCCCAAAGAGGGCUCUCCAGACAGAAAGUUGCCUGCAUGUCCCGGUGCGUGUUUUUGAGUGUGAUACUGUUCUUCACUGCUCUGUCCCAAGAAAUCCAGCAUUGCCUAUGGCAUACCUUCUGAGGAAAGCCUUUGGGGCAAAGAAAUUACAAAAAUGAAGGUGGGGGAGUAUUACAAUUUGUAACAGUCACUUAAGAAUUCUCAACAUGUUUUUUUCAUUGGCUAUAAACAAAACAAGGUAAUACAAGACACCUGUGACCAUGCAAAAAAUAAGAGGCACAGAUGCCCCACCGUUAAAGCAAGCAGGUCACGCAGCAGGGGCAUUCCUGUGGGUGAGCGGCCUGGGAGACCAACAGAGAAGAAUCACCCAGGAGGUAAAACAGCAUUCAGUGAGCAAGAGGCACAGAAGUCUAGGGUGAAAUUGCCAGUGAAACAGCCUUCUCAGAAUGCUGGGAUUUUAGAAAGCACAGCUGGGAAGUUGUGGGCUGGAGAAUCCAUCAGCCUCCCUCGUUGUCUAUCUCUUUCCUUCCUAACUUUCUUGUAUCAGCCAUCAGUGCCACACUGGGUGCUGGGCUUGAGGGGAUAAAAUGGGGAACAUACGCACCCGGUUUCUGUCCUUAGGGGGCUUAGAGUAGAAUGGGGAAGAGAUAAACCCAAGUAAAUAGCAUACAAAUAAAAUAAUUGCCAACUGUGAUAAAGGACUUUGAAGAAAGCAAUUAAAGUUCUGAGUUAGAAGGUAACAUGAGAGUAAAUUGCGUUUCCUAGGGUGGUCAGGAAAUGUUUUUUUGGACAGACUUAACAUAUAAACAGAUCUGUAAGGAGCAGGGAGGAUUUUAAAGUUUGCAGUGGGUAGAGAGGUUGGGAAAGUACUGAAAGAAAGUGGUGUGGUUGGAGAACAAUAUACAAAUGUGACAAUGAAACAAAAUGGAACAAAAGAAAAGGGAAGGCUUGUCAUCAGACGUGGUGACAAGUUCAUUUUGAUCUCUCACCCUCUAUCUUCACGGUCUCUUCAGGCCUCCUAGACUUCCAUUGGAAAGCCCUGGCCUCUUGGAAUUACAGGUGUUGGAAAUCCACACCAAACUAACUUGAGCAGGGAAGGGGAAUUACCAUACUGUGAGCUGUCAGGGUGCAGCUGACCAAUAGAUGGCUGGGGCCCGGGGAUAUGGGCAUCGAGAUUCACUUUUUUUUCUCCUGUGGUUCUCCUUCAUUGUCCAGCAGACAGGCCUUGGCCUGUACUACAGUGGGACAGUGUUUCCAGUAGCAACUGUUUAUCUUCCCAAAUUUGCCACCAGGCAGUGGGGGGCUGUCUUCCCUUACUUCCAGUUUGGCUCAUGCUUGGUGAGAGACUCUGUUUUCCUUGGCUUGGGUCACAUUCCCACCCAAGGAGACAGGGUGCUGCCGGUGGCAGCGUGGGGGAAAGGAGCAACUCCCCUGCAGAUGCCUGCCUGCCUGUGAGGGCGUCGAUAUGAGUGAGAAAGGGUAAAGAGCUGUGAGUAUGUGUAUUGUGAGAUUGUGUGUGUGUGUUUAUGUAGAUGUGUGCAUGUGUAUGUGAGUGUGUAUGAAUGUAUGUGUGUAUGUGUGACUGGGAGAACAUGUAUGUGUGUACAUUUGUGAGUAUGUAUAUAUGUUGAGUGUUAUGUGUAAAAUUGUGUCUCCCUAAAAUUCUUAUGUUGAAAUCCUAGCCCCUAAUACCUUAGAAUUCAACGUUAUUUGGAGAGAGGUCUUCGUAUAGAUAAUCAAGUUCAAAGGAGACAUUAGGGUGGGCUGUAAUCCCAUUAGCUGUUGUCUUUGUAAAAGGGGAAAUUUGGACACAGAGCCACUCAGAGAGGGAAGAGGUCGUGAAGAGACACUGGCAGAAGAUAGCCAUGUACAAGCCAAGUAGAGAGGACUGGAACAGAUCCUUCCCUCACAGCCUCCGAGGAACCAACCUGGCCGACACCUUGAUUUCAGACUUCUGGCCUCCAGAACUGUGUGAGACAGCACAUUUCUGUUGUGGAAGCCACCCAGUCUGUGGUACUUUGUUACAGCAGCUCCAGCAAAUGCACACCAUGAGCGUGUGUGUGACUGUGGGCAUCUGAGUGUCAAUGUCAAUGUAUGUGUAGACUGGGAGUUGCUCUGGUCAUAAAUCUAAAGAUGGCUAUCAUGCUGCUCCUUUUCUUUGCUUAUCCAAUACCACUCACAUUUCGAGGCCUGCCACAAAUCCCCCUCCUUCUUGACAUCUUUCAUGGGUUCUCAGUGCUCCAGGUGCAAUUCUGGCUGCCACCAAUUAAUCGCGUGAUUCAUGGUGACCUUGAGGGAAACAACCUUUCUCAUUAAUCUUUGGGUCCCUGUAUUUGUCUUAUGGCCCAGCAUGUAGUAAGUACUCAAAUAAUAUUUGUUUGCUUCACUUAACCUUCUAUUUAAUUUUUUUUACUGUGAAAUAAAACAAAUGUAGAAAAUUGUACAAAACAAGAGUUUACAGCCCAGUGUUUUAUCACAAAGUGAACAUCUGUGUAACUACUACACAGAGCAAAAAAU